UUUAUAAUAAUGGCUUCUCAAAUUUUUUGAUCACAGGACCCCUUUUAAACUCUUAAAAAAAUGCUGUACCAGGCAGCCUGACCCUCACCUAACGUGAAUUCCCAGAAGUCUUUCCUGGGUUUUGAAUUUGCAUUAACAGGCGUGUACAUUCUGGCAGCAGUUUAAUGAUCAUGUAUGAUACUGCAAACAGGA